rnacentral:rRNA from 1 species
GGUAAAGGCCUACCAAGGCGAAGACGGGUAGGGGGUGUGAGAGCACGGCCCCCCACAAUGGGACUGAAACACGGCCCAUACUCCUACGGGAGGCAGCAGCAGGGAAUAUUGCACAAUAGGCGAAAGCCUGAUGCAGCGACGCCGCGUGAGUGAAGAAGGCCUUCGGGUCGUAAAGCUCUUUUGUAGGGGAAGAGGAAGGACGGUACCCUAAGAAGAAGCGUCGGCUAACUACGUGCCAGCAGCCGCGGUAAGACGUAGGACGCGAGCGUUAUCCGGAAUUACUGGGCGUAAAGGGCCAGCAGGCGGCUUGGUAAGUUGUGCGUGAAAGCCUCGUGCUCAACGCGAGGAAGCCGGACAAUACUGUCAAGCUAGAGGGCAUCAGAGGGGAGUGGAAUUCCCGGAGUAGCGGUAAAAUGCGCAGAUAUCGGGAGGAACACCGAUGGCGAAGGCAGCUCCCUGGGAUGCACCUGACGCUAAGAGGCGAAAGCUAGGGGAGCGAACAGGAUUAGAGACCCUGGUAGUCCUAGCUGUAAACGCUGGGUGCUAGGUGUGGGACGUAGAAGUUCCGUGCCGGAGCAAACGCGAUAAGCACCCCGCCUGGGAAUUACGGUCGCAAGGCUAAAACUCAAACGAAUUGACGGGGCCCCGCACAAGCAGCGGAGCGUGUGGUUCAAUUCGAUGCUACACGAAGAACCUUACCUGGGUUUGACAUGUACGUGGUACGAAGGCGAAAGCCUAAGGACCCUUCGGGGAGCGUACACAGGUGCUGCAUGGCUGUCGUCAGCUCGUGCCGUGAGGUGUCGGGUUAAGUCCCGUAACGAGCGCAACCCUUGCCCUUAGUUACAAGUGUCUAAGGGGACUGCCGGCGGGAAGCCGGAGGAAGCUGGGGAUGACGUCAAGUCAGCAUGGCCCUUAUGUCCAGGGCUACACACACG